AUUGAACGCUGGCGGCAGGCUUAACACAUGCAAGUCGAACGCGUGGCGGACGGGUGAGCAAUGCUUGGGAAUCUAGCUUAUGGAGGGGGAUAACUACGGGAAACUGUAGCUAAUACCGCGUACCAUAGUAUGAGCCCAAGUGGGAUUAGGUAGUUGGUGAGGUAAAGGCUCACCAAGACGACGAGCUCUAGCUGGUCUGAGAGGAUGACCAGCCACCCUGUGACGGAGACACGGCCCAGACUCCUACGGGAGGCAGCAGUGGGGAAUAUUCGGCAAUGGGGGCAACCUGAUCCAGCCAUGCCGCGUGAAUGAAGAAGGCAUUCGGGUUGUAAAGUUCUUUCGGUAGCGAGGCGUUAUCUACACAAGAAGAACCGGCUAACUCCGUGCCAGAAGCCGCGGUAAUAC
rnacentral:rRNA from 1 species